GCGUCAAGGAGCGGCUGGUCGCUGGUCGUCCACGGUUCGGUGAAGAAGAAAGGAGCGGCUUCUUUCUUUGUUGUCCCCCGUGAAAUCUUCACUUAGCAGGUGGACCGAGCCCCGCGCCCGGGCAGGGUCCGCGCUCGCCCGAGGACAGGAGGAGGAG
rnacentral:lncRNA from 1 species